GGGAGUAUAGCUCAGUGGUAGGGCAUGUGCUUAGCAUGUGUCAAGUCCAGGGUUCAAUCCUCAGUACCUCCA
rnacentral:tRNA from 1 species